rnacentral:rRNA from 1 species
CUACGAGGUGCUGCAGUGGGGAAUAUUGGACAAUGGGCGCAAGCCUGAUCCAGCAAUGCCGCGUGAGUGAAGACGGCCUUAGGGUUGUAAAACUCUUUCGCUAGGGAAGAUAAUGACUGUACCUAGUAAAGAAGUCCCGGCUAACUCCGUGCCAGCAGCCGCGGUAAUACGGAGGGGACUAGCGUUGUUCGGAAUUACUGGGCGUAAAAGAGUUCGUAGGCGGACUGACAAGUUAGAGGUGAAAUCCCAGGGCUCAACCCUGGAACUGCCUUUAAAACUGUCAGUCUAGAGACCGGAAGAGGUUAGGGGAAUAUCUAGUGUAGAGGUGAAAUUCGUAGAUAUUAGGUGGAACACCAGUGGCGAAGGCGCCUAACUGGUCCGGUACUGACGCUGAGGAACGAAAGCGUGGGGAGCAAACAGGAUUAGAUACCCGAGUAGUC